rnacentral:rRNA from 1 species
UACGAGGGGUGCAAGCGUUGCUCGGAAUUACUGGGCGUAAAGCGCACGUAGGCGGCUUUCUAAGUCGGGGGUGAAAUCCUGGAGCUCAACUCCAGAACUGCCUUCGAUACUGGAAAGCUCGAGUCCGGGAGAGGUGAGUGGAACUGCGAGUGUAGAGGUGAAAUUCGUAGAUAUUCGCAAGAACACCAGUGGCGAAGGCGGCUCACUGGCCCGGUACUGACGCUGAGGUGCGAAAGCGUGGGGAGCAAACAGG